GACGACUGAUGGAUCAAGUUGGAGGUCCUCAAGAAAAUGUAAUUCUUCGAGACAGGAGCGAUUAUACUUCACCGAAAAGUGUUGUAAAAAUGCACGUAUUGUGCGUUGUAGAUACAUCUAGUGGGUAUGAGCAGCUAGCUCGCGCUUCUCUUUUGAGCGUGGCUUACUUUUAAACGAGGUUUAGUUCAGUAACGUUAGCUGAACGUUAGCUUGUAUCUCUGCACGUGGAUGUCCCUGUUCGGUAAUUAGCUAUAUCAACUCAGGAAAGGGAGUUUCAGUGAAAUGAGCAGUGUGGACCUGACGGGCAUGAUCGACCAGCUGCAGGGAAAGCGAGUAGAGACUAGAGGAUUUCUUGACACAUCUACCAAAAGCACUUGACUGGUUUGUAUUUAUUUUGAGGUUAUUCAUUACCAAAUAAAAAAAGAAAAUUGUGAAGC